rnacentral:lncRNA from 1 species
AGUAGACCAGACUGUUGAAGUGCAUCCCACCUCCAACCCGAGAGAAUUCAGAUUCAGCAUGGAGGCCUUCAAGUUCAUCGGCUUGAAUGACCAGGUGUACAUCAGCUGUUCAGUCCUGAUGUGUGAGGCAGGGAGCCACGGCACCAGGUGCUCGCAGGGAUGCAUCAACACUCCCUCAUUGCCAACCGGUCUUCACCACCACCGAAAGAGAGAGGCUCACGCUCAGAGUUCAAGGCACUUUGUUUCCCAGGGUCCCCUGCGUUUAAAGAGAUCAGCAGAAAGCACCGGGAGCGCAGGUAUGAAAACAGGGAGUGUUUUCCUAAGAACACACCUGCAUAGUUUGAGUCCCAGUUAGACUUUGGACAAGAUCUAAUCUAAAUUGUGCUUCUCUUUCCUCCAGCGGUCAACCUGAAUCUGAACCUGGUAUUCAUCGCUGGAUGUCUUCUUGCAGCUGUCGGCAUGAUCAGUGCAGUGGUUCUGUACAAAGUCAGAAUGUCAAAGGUGAAAUACCAACCGUUACCCACAGAUGAACGUUAAGAAAGCGGCAUGUGCAGAAUACAAUUUUAGUAUUAACGACAUUUAACAACAAGCUUUUUUAAAUUGGUUUUGCUAUCAGAUAUUGGGUGUUCAUGUUUCUUAUGUGCAAAUUUAAAUAAAACAUUUAAUGUCAACACUUUUAGAAAUACUUAAGUGAAGAAGAAUCUGUACCUGUGCAAAUAGGAAGUUUUAUAUGAAUCAACACUGAGGAUGUUCAAGCACUGCAGCUGCUGAUUGUUUACUUGUGAAGUUUACUGUUUACCCCGAGAUCCCAUGUGCCUUUACAGAUGCUUCUGCUAUUAUGUAUUGCAUGACAAAAGGAUUGACCUAACUGAUGAUACACGUGCUUAAUGAUCAAUAAAAACAUAUAUUCUCUUACAUAUCUUUUUGUUUUUGUCCACUUUAU